GCGCCAUUAGCUCAAUGGAUAGAGUAACGCACUACGAAUGCGCAGGUUUGGGGUUCGAGUCCCUAAUGGCGCGCCA
rnacentral:tRNA from 1 species